rnacentral:misc_RNA from 1 species
GUGAAUCAUCGAAUUUUUGAACGCAAAUUGCACUCUCUUCGGAGAGUAUGCCUGUUCGAGGGUCAGUGUUAAUAAAACUCGGAGUGUUGCUUCUUUGUGAGGCUCCGGGGUUCGGGUCAUCCUAAUAUCCUUUAGGUUUUUAGUGGCUUACCAUUGACUUUUUUUGCGCAUUUUAGAUGUAGAUAAAUUCUUUUUUUUAUUCGUCUGUCUUCAUGCUC